GGAUUAACUCCGGGAAACCGGGGCUAUAUACCGGAUAACAUUUGAACCGCAUGGUUCGAAAUUGAAAGGCGGCUUCGGCUGUCACUUAUGGAUGGACCCGCGUCGCAUUAGCUAGUUGGUGAGGUAACGGCUCUACCAAGGCUAUACNAUGCGUAGCCGUACCUGAGAGGGUGAUCGGCCUACUACUGGGUACUGUAGACUCGGCCCUAGACUCCUACGGGAGGCUAGCAGUAGGGAAUCUUCCGCAAUGGUACGAAAUAGUCGACGGAGAACGCCGCGUGAGUGAUGAAGGCUUUCGGGUCGUAAAACUCUGUUGUAGGGAAGAACAAGUGCUAGUUGAAUAAGCUGGCACCUGACGGUACCAUAACCAGAAAGCACGGCUUAAUACUAGCCAG
rnacentral:rRNA from 1 species